rnacentral:rRNA from 1 species
UACGUAGGGUGCGAGCGUUAAUCGGAAUUACUGGGCGUAAAGGGCUCGUAGGCGGCCAACUAAGUCGGAUGUGAAAUCCCCAGGCUCAACCUGGGAACUGCAUCCGAUACUGGAUGGCUUGAAUUCGGGAGAGGGAUGCAGAAUCCAGGUGUAGCGGUCAAAUGCGUAGAUAUCUGGAGGAAUACCGGUGGCGAAGGCGGCAUCCUGGACCGACAUGACGCUGAGGAGCGAAAGCCA